AAACUCAAAUGAAUUGACGGGGCCCGCACAAGGCGGUGGAGCAUGUGGUUUAAUUCGAAGCAACGCGAAGAACCUUACCAGGUCUUGACAUCCCUGACAACCCGAGAGAUCGGGCGUUCCCCUUCGGGGGACAGGGUGACAGGUGGUGCAUGGUUGUCGUCAGCUCGUGUCGUGAGAUGUUGGGUUAAGUCCCGCAACGAGCGCAACCCUCGACCUUAGUUGCCAGCAUUCAGUUGGGCACUCUAAGGUGACUGCCGGCUAAAAGUCGGAGGAAGGUGGGGAUGACGUCAAAUCAUCGUGCCCCUUAUGACCUGGGCUACACACGUGCUACAAUGGGCGGUACAAAGGGCAGCGACACAGCGAUGUGAAGCCAAUCCCGAAAAGCCGGUCUCAGUCCGGAUUGGAGUCUGCAACUCGACUCCAUGAAGUUGGAAUCGCUAGUAAUCGCGGAUCAGCACGCCGCGGUGAAUACGUUCCCGGGCCUU
rnacentral:rRNA from 1 species